GUUAGAAAAUUAGCAUAGUUCAUAGAAAUGUAAUCAAAAAUUCAAAAAAAAGCCUUAAUGCUGUGAGCCUUCUACGCAUUCAUACUAGUGAUGGAACAGUAACGUUUAGUUUCAUGCUUUUUUCGUCGUCAACUUCAUAUCAGUGCUCAGGUCAACGCUAAUAGUUCAAUGCUUUAAGUCAUGUCAAUUUAAGAGGCUUUAAAAAAAAAUAUCAGAAAUUUUUCUUCCACGGUGUCCGAAAAAAUCUAAAGGAAAAUUUUUAUCGAGUAAUAUGAGAGUAAAGUCUUACGCAGUUUCCAAUGCCUAUCAUUAUUGUACUGCGAGUCGGACAAUUCAAAAUCUCGUUCCUAUGCAUCAUUCUGAUUACAAAUGCAAAACCGACAUUGUCAAAAGCAAAGUGUGACACUUUCGCAAAAUCAGUUUUCGUUGCAUUGCUAACUGAAGAGCCAAGCUAUAUCAAAAAAGAACUUCCUAAAAUAACUUUUCUUUUUAUGAAUUUAUUAUUUUUCAUUCCAAGCGUCAAUUGGGAACGCGAACGACGAUUAAAUCGUUUGAAACUCACCGGCAAAUUACGUUUAUGCUUGCAGCACUAGCUUUUUAUUGAAAUGACUCUUCCAAACGAAAAUACCUCUGCCAUUGAAAUGGAACUACUGAAAAUAGAGUAUCUUCGUGAAUUGAAAUUUAAGCAGGAAAAGCUUGGUAUUGGUGAGACAGCAAUUAGUCCUCGGAACUGCAAACCCCGAGGAAGGUAAAACUCAACAAUAUCAAGAAAAAAAAGAUUCCAUAAGCCACACACUGGUACAUAAACUGAAGAAUUACUUGUUUGAAAUUACUUAGACAGGGUCAACGGUGUUAUUAAGAAUUCCAAGUACAUUUGCGUAAUUGGCAGAGAGUUCUUUCUUGUUUCCACAAUUUCCAGCACAUUCAUUGUUGUAAUUGUUUUCGUCGUCUUGUUCGAGAAUUUAGCAGGCUACAAUAUUUUUGCGUCCGUAGCUAGCCGUUGUUUAAGGUUACUCCCAGUGUCUUUUUCAUUUUCUCCCACUGUGCCGCCAUUCACUAUUUAUUGCGAAUCCGCCUUGUUUACGUUUUACUUCAUCUUUUUAUUCGUUAUUGUCGCGUGUCUUUAUUUUGUGCUUUUAUUUCCCGCCAUCAUAUGUCGCUGAAGACUACCGGACACUUUAACAUUGCGUAUUAAUUGAUGAAAGUUUUAUUUAUUAGUGAAUGAUCUUGUCGCAUAACAGCAUUCUCCGUGUUUUCCGUUUUUCCGUUUAUUUCAGUUGAACUGAGUUGACUUGUUGUACAAAUUAAUCGAUCCCUUGUUUCUUUGAGUGAAGUUCUUUUUAAAUUCUUACUUCUCUUUUCACUUAUACACUUCUUUUUUUUUCGCUUUUCUCAUAUUAGUUACCAUGUAUUACGAUAACGCUUUCGGCUAUAUCCCUGCCCACUGGGUCACCAUCCUUGCUGUCAUUCUCUUUAGUAUCGCUUUCAUUCUUCACGUUGCUUGUCUUGCUUUCACGAGAAAAUGGCUCGUUAUCGUCCCUAUUAUCGGUACCAUUGGUGAAUUGGCUGGAUGGGCUUGUAGGUUAGACGCUUCGUACAAUCCAGAUGACUACAACGCCUUCUUGGGUCAAAUCAUCGCUUUAAUUAUCGCACCAGUCUUUUAUUCUGCACAGGCUUACGUUUUGUUUCAUCACAUCGUUCUUUUGUAUGGACCUCGAUUUUCCGUUUUAUCUCCUAAGCUAUAUGGAGGCAUCUUUAUCACUUUUGAUAUCAUCGCUCUUAUUCUUCAGGCUGCUGGCGGUGGUGUUGCCGGUGGUGCCGACAGUGGUUCUCAGUUACAAACUCAGGGCUCUCAAAUCAUGUUGGGCGGUAUUUGCUUCCAACUUUUUACCAUUGUUGUUUUUUCUAUCCUGUUUUCCAUUUUUUUCAUUGCGUUAUAUACCCAUCAUCCCAUUCGUCCUUCCACUGGCAGAAGGGAACCAGAUGUUCCAUAUACUCGUGUUCGAACUAUGUCCUGUAAUUGUCUAGCCCUCGCAACAUUUGCAAUGGUAGUUCGUUCCGUCUAUCGUGUUAUUGAGUUGGCACAAGGUUGGGAAGGUGCGGUCAUUACUCAUGAGGUAUGGUUCGAUAUAUUUGAUUUCAUCCCGAUGAUUUUUACUUCGGCCCUUUUGAUUCCCUCUCUAUAUCCUGCUCUCGAGAGAAGCAAAUUGCCUUUCACCGAAAAGCACGUUUCGUCUAUGGAAUACGCUCCCUCGGAGUAUGGCCCUUCGGAAUAUGGUCCUUCUAUAAACGAUAUCACCAAUAUGUCUGCUGUUAUUUACCCAGAUUCAUUUUUGGCACCCAAGGAUCCCAAAAAAUCUUUCUCCUCUGAGGAGCUUUAAGACCUCUUAUAAAUGUGAGCUAUCUAUAUUCGCAUGCAUGGUUUCCGCUACGUGUCAAAUUUCUAGUACGUUUGUUAUUCGUUUUCACUAAUGUCUGUUUUUACAACCGUAUUAUAAUUUCUACAAAAUGUUUAGAUGAGACAUUUCUUCUCCUAUUUAUUGCUUUGCAAUAUGCAUUACUUAUUUCGAGAAAAUAGUUUGAAGCAGUGUUAAAUACCAAGACGUCGAGUGUGUUUAUUUUUUAUUAAAAAAAAAAAAUUACUGAUACGACGAAUCCCCUUCUCCCCAUUCAAGCUUCAUCUUUAAUAUCGUUUUUUAACUCUUUUCGUUGUAUAUUUGAUUAAUAAUCAUAAUUAUCUAUCUAUUAGUCGUUUUUUAAUAAAUAUUUUU